GUCGUUGUCCCGAUCUUCACGACGUAGGAUAACUAGCUGAUGAUCAGCCGAUAACUUGCUGCAAGCAGCGAGGAUAACUAGUGCAACCUGACGACACGCACAAGGAGCCAACCACCGUCUCUAUACGGCAGCCUGAACCAAGGAUUCGCCUAACCACACUCUCAAAGAACCAACCUACGCAACCUGAACUCGAGGAUCAGGAGCACGGAUUGGGUGCCGAUGACGCGGCCGCUUCUGUAAUC
rnacentral:lncRNA from 1 species